GGAUAUAAUGGUAGUAAAACGUGAUGAAAAGCUUCUGCACUGUUUUUGAAGUCUGAAGUGCAGAAAGACAUCACCAUCAGGUUUCUGGACACUUGGUCUCUCGUAAACAGAUCAAGAUGCAGUCCAUCAAAACACCUCUUCAGCUCUUGAACAGUAGCCCUAUCCUCAUAUACUUGAUCCUCAACUUGCUUGAUAAAGCGAUACUUUAAAUCAUAAGAACCUACAGAAGGCCUCUAUGGCUGCCACCUCAGCUUUUCUUAGGAUAUAAUGGUAGUAAAACGUGAUGAA
rnacentral:lncRNA from 1 species